rnacentral:tRNA from 1 species
GGCUGAGUGGUAAAGCGCUCGGCUUCCGAAUCGGGUAUCCCGGGUUCGAAUCCUGG